CCUCCACUCAUAAAAAUAUUACAUAAUUAUUACACCAAAAAGAUCAACUUGAUGCUCCUCUUUGAAUAUGCGGUUAUAAUAAUAAUCAUAAAAACAUUAAUUUUUUUAAAAUCAUUUCAAUUUAAUUUUCUCAGUAUCAGAGACAAAAUUGUACUACUGUGUAACAUCAUUAACAAUAAAAUAUUAAAGUUGUUUUUUAUUCCUUUUCGAUCAAAAAAGUCAAUAACCUUUGGUAUUUAUCUUCAACUUGCAACUUGCUUAGGGUUUGCACUUCCAUUUUCUCACCUGUUUCUUCUUCUGGGUUCAUUCAAGGUCUAG